rnacentral:lncRNA from 1 species
CUACAAAUGAAGACGGUUGCAGCUGCAGUCUUGCUUCGCCACCGGCUGAGUUUGGUACCCGGCCAUCGUGUCGAGCAGAAGAUGUCAUUAACGUUGUUCAUGAAAUAUGGUUUGAAGAUGAACGUGCAGAAUAGAGACUUGAAGCCUAUAAUGGAGAAAAUUUGUGAGAUAAGAAAUGAUGAAUGUGGUAAAAUUGAUUUCCUCAAUGGGGUAGAAAUGAGUUAAAGUGUAGGAUGAAGAGAAAAUUAUUACUAUAUGUGAAACUUGUUUCUUAUUUCUUCUGGGUCGACAUUAUGAUGCAUAUUAAUGUCAUCAAUGAUAUGAUAUCUAUAUUAAAUAUUAUCAAGAUCAUGACAUUUAAUAAUCAUAUUUAUCACCGGCUAUGAACCAUCUUCACUUACCAUAUAUAUAAGGACUUGUGAAAAAAAUUUUAUCAGUACUAUAUGUGUGUGUGUGUGUGUGUGUGUGUGUGUGUGUGUGUGUGUGUGUGUGUCCAACUGUACUUUGGUUUAUUUAUUAUUAUGUUUAUAUGCACUGUGUCUAUUUUGAUCGACUGCAAAACAAAAGUAUUUACAAAAAUUAAACAAUCUAAUAAUAUAUUGUUUGAUACUUCUUUUCUAAGUUAAAUGAUAAAAUAAAAAAGUUUAUUUGUUUCCAGAAAUAUUACAAAAAACCAUCAUUUCAAUUCAGACAGAUUCUUUGUUAUACUCUUAAAAUUUUUAAUCAAUCUGAUUUCUCAAUAAUAAUUUAUGAAUUAAUUCAUUAACAACGUUACUGGCAUCCAAAAAACAAGAGACAUAAUUCAUUGUUUCUCACUUUAAUUCAUAAUUUUAACACAAUUCCCUCAAUUAAAACUAAGCAAUCAAGUAAAGAAAAUUAAACCAUAAGGAAGGGAAUUCAGAUGUACUGUUUCUCCCAAGAGGGAUUUGCCUUGCCUGCAAUUCUCUUUUCUUUCUCAGUUUUCUGCUUCCAUCGUCACUCCGCUCUUCCUUGUCCGUUCAAUUCCCUUUCGUUGUUGCUUCACUUGACCUCCAUUUGGUAUUUCUGUAGAACCAGAGUAAUACUUCCCCAUCACGUCCAUAAGCAAUCAAAAUCAUCCUUCCUGUGAAACCAGAAGCAAAAUCCCUGUUUCGACCUCGUUUCACACUGCACCUCUCUGUCACGUCCUCGAUCUAUUACCGUCAGCCCAUCAUUUCCUCACCUGGACUGCCCUCGUCACGCCUCAACCACUCUUCUGCUCCACCAUGCUUUCCUCUUUCCAGUCGAAGCUAACCCAAUUCUCUCUCUCUCUCUAUCCAUUUAAAGCAAGGAAGAAAAAGAUGGAAGUUUUG